AUACGGAGGGUGCAAGCGUUAUUCGGAAUCACUGGGCGUAAAGGGUGCGUAGGCGGUUUGAUAAGUCUGAUGUGAAAUCCUAUGGCUCAACCAUAGAACUGCAUUGGAAACUGUCAGACUAGAAUACUGAAGGGGCAGAUGGAAUUAGUGGUGUAGGGGUAAAAUCCGUAGAUAUCACUAGGAAUACCGAAAGCGAAAGCGAUCUGCUGGGAAGUUAUUGACGCUGAGGCACGAAAGCGUGGGGGGCAAACGGGAUUAGAAACCCUAGUAGUCC
rnacentral:rRNA from 1 species